GAAACACUGGUUCAUGUAUGAUCACCAAAGUUAAGCAACGUUGAGCCUGAUCAGUACCUAGAUAGGUGACCACUUGGGAAUACCGGAUGCUGUAAG